AUGCCCCACCUCGCAGCGUCCCCCGCGUCCGCGUUCGCCGUCGCCGGGUUCCGGCCCCCACCCCGCGCGCCGACGCGGGCGCGGGCGUCUGCCACGGCCGGAGGAGCCGCGCGCACGGCCACGGCGGUGCAGCAGCAGACGCAGCAGCCGACGUUCUACGACCUGCUGGGGAUCUCGCCGGAGGGGAGCACCUUCGAGGACGUGCGGGCGGCGUACCGGCGGAUGGCGCGCAAGUACCACCCGGACGUGUCCCCGCCGGACGCCACCAAGGAGCACACGCGCCGCUUCAUCCAGGUGCAGGAGGCCUACGAGACGCUCUCCGACCCCAGCCGCCGCACCAGCUACGACCGCGCCCUCGCCCGCGGCGUCUGCCGCCUCGCCUUCUCCCCCGCCGCGCGCCGCCACGACGCCUCCGCCUUCUACCACCAGGAGCAGGAAGAGAGGUCUGGAUGGAGGACGUCCUGGGAAGGCCAAAUAUCCGAGCUGAAGAAGCGGAGCACGGUGAAGGACGCAGAAGAGAACCUAUCCUGGGGAGCUCAGAUGCGAAGAAGGGCUGAACAAUUGUGA
rnacentral:rRNA from 1 species